CCAACCUCUUCUUCUCAAACCCUUCUCCCGCAAACGACAACCCCUUCCCCCAGCGAGUUGAAAAUGGAGAUGAUUGAAGACGGCGAGAUCCAAACGAUUCAGAUGAAAGCCGAACUGGAUCGAGUGUGUGGAUUGAUGAUGGAUUGAUUGCCGCCGCCGUCGAUGCCCUCUCCGCGGCGGCGCUGGUGGUGUUUUUAGUCGGAGAAACGGGAAGAGCCGGUGGUGGCUUGGAAUCUCAUCACUAAUUUGGCCUAAAAACAAAACCAACAAAACACAAAUCAUGCUCGUGUUGCCUAGAGAAGAGAGAGAGAGAGAAGAAAUCGAAGGAGACGGAGGAGGAAGACCCACCGAUGACUACUACCACCGUCGACAUCUGCUCGCGGCAGCUAAGCGGUGAACGAGCUCUUGCACUUCUCCCUUCUGCCAGAGUUCUUAUACUCCCUCUCCCAUCAUUCAGG